UCGGGAAUUUUGGGCAAUGGGCGAGAGCCUGACCCAGCAACGCCGCGUGAGGGAUGAAGUAUUUCGGUAUGUAAACCUCGAAAGAAUGGGAAGAAUAAAUGACGGUACCAUUUAUAAGCUCCGGCUAACUACGUGCCAGCAGCCGCGGUAAUACGUAGGGAGCAAGCGUUGUUCGGAUUUACUGGGCGUAAAGGGCGCGUAGGCGGCGCGGUAAGUCACUUGUGAAAUCUCUGAGCUUAACUCAGAACGGCCAAGUGAUACUGCUGUGCUAGAGUGCGGAAGAGGCCACCGGAAUUCUUGGUGUAGCGGUGAAAUGCGUAGAUAUCAAGAGGAACACCUGAGGCGAAGGCGGGUUGCUGGGCCGACACUGACGCUGAUGCGCGAAAGCCAGGGGAGCAAACG
rnacentral:rRNA from 1 species